UUAACCCGAGGAUUGCAUUUGGAACUAUCAAGCUAGAGUACAGGAGAGGAAAGCGGAAUUCCUAGUGUAGCGGUGAAAUGCGUAGAUAUUAGGAAGAACACCAGUGGCGAAGGCGGCUUUCUGGACUGAAACUGACGCUGAGGCUCGAAAGCGUGGGGAGCAAACAGGAUUAGAUACCCUGGUAGUCCACGCCGUAAACGAUGAGUGCUAGGUGUCGGGGAGGAAUCCUCGGUGCCGCAGCUAACGCAAUAAGCACUCCACCUGGGGAGUACGACCGCAAGGUUGAAACUCAAAGGAAUUGACGGGGGCCCGCACAAGCGGUGGAGCAUGUGGUUUAAUUCGAAGCAACGCGAAGAACCUUACCAAGGCUUGACAUCCCGAUGACCGCUCUAGAGAUAGAGCUUCUCUUCGGAGCAUCGGUGACAGGUGGUGCAUGGUUGUCGUCAGCUCGUGUCGUGAGAUGUUGGGUUAAGUCCCGCAACGAGCGCAACCCUUAUCUUCAGUAGCCAUCAUUCAGUUGGGCACUCUGGAGAGACUGCCGUGGAUAACACGGAGGAAGGUGGGGAUGACGUCAAAUCAUCAUGCCCCUUAUGUCUUGGGCUACACACGUGCUACAAUGGCUGGUAACAAAGUGACGCAAAACGGCGACGUUAAGCAAAUCACAAAAACCCAGUCCCAGUUCGGAUUGUAGUCUGCAACUCGACUACAUGAAGCUGGAAUCGCUAGUAAUCGCGAAUCAGCAUGUCGCGGUGAAUACGUUCCCGGGCCUUGUACACACCGCCCGUCACACCAUGGGAGUUGGAAGCACCCGAAGUCGGUGACCUAACCGUAAGGAAGGAGCCGCCGAAGGUGAAGCCAGUGACUGGGGUGAAGUCGUAACAAGGUAACCA
rnacentral:rRNA from 1 species